rnacentral:hammerhead_ribozyme from 1 species
AUCCAGCUGAUAGUCUCAAAUAAGAUGAAACGCGCGUCCUGGAU